rnacentral:lncRNA from 1 species
AUGUUCAACACCCGGAUGAUUAUCUACCUUAGAAACACUCUGGAGUCACCAAAUGUUUUCAGCAGAAAAGUGACACCAAUCCUGAAACCUGCAAGUGCCCAUUCUCCAACCCAAGUGAGAAGUCGGGGGAAAUCCCUGUCCCCAGAAGGAGACAGGCAAGCCCCCGAGACGGCUCGGCAGGAGAGACAAGUCGUGAGUAGUAUUUCCUCUUUCCCGAAAGCCCAACACACACAUCUGUGGGGUUGUCCUAGCCCACGGGGACGAAGCUGUGUCGUGGGCCUUGGCAUCUGAAGCUGACCGAGAUCUCCAAGAGGACCGGCCCUCACGCAGGGGGCAUCCCCUGUAGAGAAGGAUCCCCCCUGCCGUCACUCCCCAUUGUGCUGACGCCACCACCUGUUAGCUAUAGACUCAGAAGAAGAGCCCAGCCCCAGACUGCAAGAGAUGAAGGGUAGCCUGAAAUCCUGGCACCAUGGGAACAGCACUGGCUUUAGAAUUAGGAAGCCUGGGUCUGGGGCCAGCUCAGCUCCUUCUGAGCUACGUGAUGUUAGGCAUGUCAUGUAACCUUCCUGGGCUUCAGUUCUCGCAGCCAGAAGAGCGGAUUGUUAGAACCGAGGAAACUCUCCUAAAACCCCGCAGCCCUCUGUGCCCAGCAGAAAGCGUGAUCAUGGUUUGGAUCACAGCGUCAGAAAUACCCACUUCUUCUUUGCUGACUCUAGCUCCCCUGUUUUAGCCCCGAGGCUAGUGAUUUCCACACCUACUGCUUAGGUCAAAAUGACCCACUUGAGAAGUGACAGAUUGGAGAAGCUGAGGAAGCCCAAAGUAACCAGUGAUAAUCCACUGGCAAAUAUUUGGGCCAUACCUAUACAGGGAAAAAAUAUUACUUUUAUUAAUACCAGCAGCGUGCUGGGUCACAGGAGGCUCUCGCCGCACCAGGGAUGAUGUGGGUACAGCGCACAGUGGUCUAGGCUGAGCCCGGGCUCUGCUGCUCAUUAGCCUUGUGGCCUGGGGAAGCCCUUCCCGAGGAUAAAAAUGCUGUCCCUGCCCAUCUCACAAGGAGUCGUUAGCAUCAACUGAGAAGUUGUAAUGAGAGCGGUUUAUUCAUGGGGAACUGCUUUCACGCAAGCACGUUAUUAUUGUCACGUCCACGCUGUAGAGUAAGAAGGGAGAGCUGUAGUUUUCACUUUCAGAGGAAGAAAGCCGAACACUGUGCUGUUGUGUAGCUGGUCGGUGAUGGGACUGGGGCUGGAACCCAGGUCGGCCCUGGGACGGUGGCAGAACAGGGAGUGUUGGU